CCCUUAGAUGUUCUGGGCUGCACGCGCGCUACACUGAUGCACUCAACGAGUUUACGACCUUGCCCGAUAGGGUUGGGUAAUCUUUUUAAAAUGCAUCGUGAUGGGGAUAGAUUAUUGCAAUUAUUAAUCUUCAACGAGGAAUUCCUAGUAAGCGCGAGUCCUCAGCUCGUGCUGAUUACGUCCCUGCCCUUUGUACACACCGCCCGUCGCUCCUACCGAUUGAGUGCUCAGGUGAAUAAUUCGGACUGCAGCAAUGUUUGGAUCCCGAACGUUGCAGCGGAAAGUUUAGUGAACCUUAUCACUUAGAGGAAGGAGAAGUCGUAACA
rnacentral:rRNA from 1 species